GGUAGCAUAUGUCACUAGCAUAGUCUAAAUAUUAAUACUCAUGCAAUUCUUCCUAAACUCAUUGGUUAUUCAACAAACGCAAUGAUAAUUAUACAAACUAAAACAAGUAACUAAGCAUAAAUUUAGAAAUUCUAGAACAAAGGUACAUAUAAGAAGCUCUGCAAAAAUUUUCAUUUCAUUGGUUGUAAUCUCAUCACAACUACAUACAUCAAGCAUGCUUCAACACUUCGGCAACUAUCAUAGCCAAGAGAAUACCUGGAAAUGGAAAAGGGUAGAAAGAAAUGAGGCAGCAAUAAGCAACACCAAACUAGUCAGUCAACACAGAAGAAUCAGGAAAUCAAGCAAAAAAUCAACCGGACUUAGCCAAUGAAACAGUAACUUUUAUGAAACCAACACUUCAAAACUAGUUUUUCAAGACCUCAAAAUCAAACCAUUUAGCCCCAAGAUUAAAUCAAAAAUUGUUUCAGAAUUAGAAAGCUUCAGAAAUCACAAAAGAAAAUUGAUGGAACAGUGUUGUACUGAAGUUUUCAGCCGUUAGUAUUAUUUCUGAAUUUUUA
rnacentral:lncRNA from 1 species